AAUCAACGCUGGCGGCGUGCCUAACACAUGCAAGUCGAACGCGAAAGCCCCUUCGGGGGUAAGUAGAGUGGCGUCCGGGUGAGUAACACGUAGGUAAUCUACCUUCGGGUGGGGAAUAACUCGCCGAAAGGCGAGCUAAUACCGCAUAAUGCAGCGGCACCUAAUGGUGAUUAGUUGUUAAAGCGGGGGAUCGUAAGACCUCGCGCCUGAAGAGGAGCCUGCGGCAGAUUAGCUAGUUGGGAGGUAAUGGCUCACCAAGGCUUCGAUCUGUAGCUGGUCUGAGAGGACGGCCAGCCACACUGGCACUGACACACGGGCCAGACUCCUACGGGAGGCAGCA
rnacentral:rRNA from 1 species